rnacentral:rRNA from 1 species
AACGAACGCUGGCGGCGUGGAUAAGACAUGCAAGUCGGACGCUGAUUGCCGGGUAGCAAUAUUCGGCGGUCGGAGUGGCGAAAGGGUGCGUAACACGUGGGCAAUCUGCCGUGAAGUCGGGGAUAACUUGCUGAAAGGCGAGCUAAUACCGGAUGUGGUUUUGGGAGGGCAUCUUUCUGGAACCAAAGUUGGGGACCGCAAGGCCUGACGCUUCAUGAUGAGCCCGCGGCCUAUCAGCUAGUUGGUGAGGUAAUGGCUCACCAAGGCAAAGACGGGUAGCUGGUCUGAGAGGACGACCAGCCACACUGGAACUGAGACACGGUCCAGACACCUACGGGUGGCAGCAGUCGAGAAUUUUUUCACAAUGGGCGAAAGCCUGAUGGAGCGACGCCGCGUGGGGGAUGAAUGGCUUCGGCCCGUAAACCCCUGUCAUUUGCGAACAAACCUUUCCACCCAACACGUGGAGAGCUGAUUGUAGCGAAAGAGGAAGGGACGGCUAACU